UACGUAGGGGGCAAGCGUUAUCCGGAUUUACUGGGCGUAAAGCGCGUGUAGGCGGUUGCGCAAGUUGGUUGUGAAAUCUCCCGGCUCAACCGGGAAACUGCAGCCAAAACUGCGUAGCUAGAGUCCUGGAGAGGAAGGUGGAAUGCUUGGUGUAGAGGUGAAAUGCGCAGAUAUCAGGAGGAACACCGGUGGCGAAGGCGGGUCUCUGGGCAACUACUGACGCUGAGGAGCGAAAGCGUGGGGAGCGAACAGG
rnacentral:rRNA from 1 species